GAUGAACGCUGGCGGCGUGCCUAAUACAUGCAAGUCGAGCGAAGCGGGGACGGGUGAGUAACACGUGGAUAACCUCCUAUAAGACUGGGAUAACUUCGGGAAACCGGAGCUAAACCGGAUAAUUAUAGAUGGAACCGCGCCGCAUUAGCGAGUUGGUAAGGUAACGGCUUACCAAGGCAACGAGGCGGAGCCGACCUGAGAGGGUAAUGGGCCACGCUGGAACUGAGUCCCGGUCCAGACUCAUACGGGAGGCAGCAGGAGGGAAUCUUCCGCAAUGGGCGAAAGCCUGACGGAUCAACGCCGCGUGAGUGAUGAAGGUCUUCGGAUCGUAAAGCUCUUUUAUUAGGGAAGCGGUACCUAAUCAGAAAGCCACGGCUAGCUACGUGCCAGCAGCCGCGGUAAUAC
rnacentral:rRNA from 1 species